UCUGAACUGAGUCUUCCUUGAUCCAACUGGAAGGCUAUUUUGAGGAGUGAGCCAGAGUUGCUUAUGUAUUUCAAACACUGGUGCACACUUCUGUUUGUUGGUUAGAUCAGUCCUAUGGACUAUUGCUGCUGUGAAAUCCUAACUUCCAGACAGCUGUUUCCUGCUUUUCAAUGUAAACACCUUGUGAGUUGUCUCCUGGUGGAGAUGCUGAAGUACAAAAGCAGUCACAGCAUCAUCAUCCUGUGAUAUUUUAGACACUGUCAGUAUCUGAAAGAAUACCUAGAAGUCUGCUUGUCUUGCAGGGUGUUGCUAAUAUCCUGCACAAUUUCUUUCCUGGAUGUCUUGUCUAGCACAGCAUCCUCCUCCUUGUUUCAUUCUAAUGCUGUUUCUUUUGCUGGCACAAGAUCCUGAAAUGCCCCUGCCAUCUCUUUACAGCCAAGGCAACCAGGGUCAAUGGAUACCAAGGUGUAGCUAGAAUUUUAAGGAUGCAAAUAACCUGAAUGAACUCCUUUACUGCAAACACCAGACCGACAUGGACUGAGGACACAAGUAUCUCCAUGAGCAAGAACUGCUGGAUGGGACUCUCCAAAGAACUUAGUUCUCUCUCCAUGAGAGGCUCCUUCUCUCUGACUGUGUUUUAGAUUUAUCUUGCUUCCCCCUGGGGCUAAAGGAUUUGAGAUCAUUAGAGAGAUAGGAGGUGGUGGAGUGGUGACCCACCAGUAAUGUAGCUCAGUCAUUCUGAGGACUGCUAUCAGGAAUGAUUUAUCCAAGAGGUCUGCAGAACAAAUAGACUUUGAUGCCUUGCAGCUGCUCUACAUGUGUUUGUUGACAGCUCUGGCACUUCAGUGAAUAAGUCAGUCCUGAAUUUUAGGCUGUAUCACCCAGACUGAAGAGUUUUGUAUCUCCUUGCUGACAUAGACUGUGUGGAGGUACAGAUACAAGAACCUGUUUCAUGGGGCUGGUUUACAUUUGAUAAUUCUUAUGACUUCCUCUUUUUAACUUGGUCUUGUAGUUUAUGGUGGAGAUAGAGCUGAGGGUCCUCACUGAUGAGUGGAGGACUGUCUUAUCAGACCUCAGACUAUGGUCAGACCUCUUUAAAAUUUCUCUCCCUGUAUGUCUAUCAAUCUCAUUCUGUGUGAGUUACUAAGUACCAUCUUUGCAGUGCCUCAGCUUUAUUUGACAAUCCAAGUUUCCUUCCAAGUGACCUUUUGAGGAUAACAUUUGCAGGUUAAAUGUGCUGAAUAAGGACAAAUGAGAAAUGCAAAAAAAGUGAAAAUGGGUUUUAAAGAAGAUCAUCUUCUGUCA